GUGGCAACUGCUGCAGGGAAAAAAAGAAGGUUUUACCGAAAGUGGAAUCCUCUUGGCUGUGUUCGAAUCUAAUAUCCUGGAAUUCCCAUCAAGUAUCGAUUUGGUUUUUAGAUUAAUAGAUCAGGUUUCAUGCAUGCCACUAACUUUCUUCCCCCUUUUAUUUAUUUUUUGCUCAUUUUCGGCAGCAUGAGAGAAGAUCAAUUCCGUGCUAUAACCUUUCACCAAGAUCUGAGCCUGCCAUCUUCUCGCCACUGUAUUGGGGGAAGGGAGAAGAAUUACUCAUGGCUCUUCCUGGAAAGGAAAGGUUAUAGCAAUAAUGAAGCUGAAAAAGCUUCGGCGACGGAACAAAACUGUUUCUUUGAUAAAUCCUAGAACUGAAGAAGUGAUUGACAUUUUCUGGAACAGAAGGCACAGACUAUGUCUUGCAAAGCAUGACCCCAGUGUGUGAAUUAUGGUACAAAAGAACUCGCUGAUGAGGAGCCAAGCAGUGCUUACGCACCACCAAAUGUGGUGGUGCGUGUGAAAGACCAUGGUGAAUGAUUGAGGGUGAUGGCUAGUUGUCUUGGUAUCCUUAAAAAGUGCUGCUGUGCAGAUUUUUUGAACAAGCCAUGGGAGUUACUGAUUACCAAAAGACAGUCCUGAAACUCUAUAAUGAUUUGUCUGAGGCCUUCAAGUUUCAGAAAUUAAUUAAAAAUGAGUU